GCUCAGAAACUUACAGGAAUUGAGGGGCCCGCACAAGCGGAGGAGCAUGUGGUUUAAUUCGAUGAUACGCGAGGAACCUUACCUGGGCUCGAACGUAAGAUGACUGUAGGUGAAAGCUUACAUCUCUUCGGAGCAUUUUACGAGGUGCUGCAUGGUUGUCGUCAGCUCGUGCCGUGAGGUGUCGGGUUAAGUCCCAUAACGAGCGCAACCCUACCUUUAGUUGCCAUCAGGUAAUGCUGGGGACUCUAAAGGAACUGCCUACGCAAGUAGUGAGGAAGGCGGGGAUGACGUCAAAUCAGCACGGCCCUUACGUCCAGGGCUACACACGUGCUACAAUGGCCGAUACAGAGGGCAGCUACCUGGUGACAGGAUGCAAAUCUCCAAAGUCGGUCUCAGUUCGGAUCGGAGUCUGCAACCCGACUCCGUGAAGUUGGAUUCGCUAGUAAUCGCGCAUCAGCCAUGGCGCGGUGAAUACGUUCCCGGGCCUU
rnacentral:rRNA from 1 species